rnacentral:lncRNA from 1 species
AAGACCCUUGUUUGUUUCCUGGCAAUAGCUUCCUGAACCCUGACUUUGUGUAUAUAGUUGUAAACAUGGAUUUUUCUGGGUUUUGGUUUUCUUUUUUUCCUUCCCCUGCUUUGGCUUGUUCUUUUUGGUUUGCAUCUAACCUGCUAGGUGGAUGUCUGCAGAAUUCUCUGUGUCCUGUGCAGUCAGCUUUCGUUCGUUCUCCCAGCUCUGUUGCAUAGCAGUCCCUCAGCAUGUUUUUCUGGAAAAAAGAAAAAACUGGCUUGCCUGUCGCCCCCAGGGGCCAGUCAAGGGCCACUGAGGGAUCAAGCUCUCAGCAACACGACGCGUUUCUGCCGCCACUUCUGGCUGACUGUGUGUCCUGUGACCAACAGCUUGCUUGGCUGGUUUAUGCCUCCUCAUCUUGACCUUUUUAGCAGACUGCCAGCUGCUUCCUACUAAGGUUCAGUCUGGGAUGGCUGGUGGCUCUGCCUGGAACUGGGGGUGGGAUCCACAAGCCUGGGCCCAGGACCCUUGUCCUAAGGGGGUACAGCUGCUUCCCCUGGAGGGUGGAUUUGUAAAGUCCCAAAACCCUGGCAAGUGCCCUGAGAACAGGGUCUAGGAGAGCCAGACCUUUCUAGGUGGAACAUGGGGCCCACCAAGGCUCCUCACUGGCUCUGUCUGGGCGGAGUGAAGACCAGUCCCUGCUGUUGACACGGGCCCCUUCACAGCUGACAGACGGAAGACUAUCGUGUGAUGUGUCUGGUUUUUUCAGUGCUCUGGAGUCUGCACACAUGCCCUCCUGACGGUGAGGCCCAGUUAGAUUAUGACAAGUCCCAGGUGUGGAAAGUGUGGGUUGGGACCAGAUCCCGUCACGUUCAUGGUCUCCAUGCUGCCCCAGGAGGUGUCCGGCGGGGUGUAGGCACCACCACUUUGCACUGUACACGUCACUAGGGCAUCCUAUGAACUGCACUGGCCUUCUGGUUUAUGUCUUGGGUAAGCAUUUUCAUGCCCUCUGCUUACUGUGACAGUCGACGACAAAUCUUAAGCUGCCAUCUUUGCUGUGGGUAAGUCGGUGUGCUGUCUUGUCUUGCUUUCUCUUCUCACUGCCCCACAGUUCAGUUUUGUGUUAAAAACAGAAAAGCUGUUCAAGGGUCCCAUCCCGGCAUAUUUUCCCUCUUCACUGUAACCCUUUCUCAUCCCACAUCAAAAGUUACCACAGAAGGUUUCCUUUGUAUAGAAUAUUUAUUUUGAAGCUCUAUUUUAAUAGUAUUUAUUUUAGAAAGUCUACUAUUGUAAGAGUUCUUCUGUUUGUGAAGAAAAAGCAAGUUAAAAACUGAAUGUACUGAUCUAGAAAAUAUAUAUAAAUAUAUAUUGUUAAAUAUACAUAGG